GGGCUCACAUUUGGGCUCUGUGCCGGUGAGCCAGUCUAUGUGUGCACUGUCUGUCUGUCUGUCCGGCUGCCAGCAGCCUUCAGGCGCCAGGAGGGGAGGCAGCAGUCGGGGGAGGUGGGGGCGGGGAAGGAGGUAGCGUUGACAAGUUCCAAUGUCUGGCUUUCCCUCCUGGAAACCCCAAGCUGGGGCUGGCCCCCCCUCCUCUUCCUGUCUCUCUCGCUCAAGCACGUCCCUUCUAAGAGCCCCUCUCUGCAGACACCCCCAGUGGAACCAAGCCCAGAUUUGCUGCCAAGAAGGCCGACAUUUCUUAGACUUGCCACGUUAAAGGGGCCUGCACAGGCACGCACUCAAAUCCCCCUCCAUGUCCUCCUCCUGUGCACAUUCAGACGACCCGAGACACACAAAGACACGGUUGGACACAGCGGCCACCUGUGCACACAGGAGGUAGCACAUGGAGCGCAUCUGACCUCAGGCUCACAGACAAGUACAAACACAGCCGUGUACCGCCCCCCCCCCACACACUCAGCUCACCACAGACUCCAAAGCACGCAGUUUCCAGCACGCGGUGCUCACAGACACGCACAAACACAGUCACACGCAGGGCCUUGCCGCGCAGAGGAACAAGUGCAAACCCGUAGCAUGUUGUCUCCCUGCACAAGCACAGCCAUCGCCACCACCAGGGCUGCUGCUGCCCGGUACAGACACAACCCCAGGAACACGACCCGUGCCGCCUGUUCCUGGUACGCACAGCCGAGCCCAGUCACACAGAGCGAUCCCCUGCAUCACCAGAGAGAAGAGUCCGCCGGGCACAGAGACACCCUGUGCCCACGCCCUGGACUUUUGGACCAGUCCACACUGUUACACAGCGUCUUCCUGGGCACGGAGACCUGCCUGAAGUCCCACUGCACGCAGGGCUCCCCUGUGCAUGCACAAUCACUGUCCCUGGGGCACACGCAGAUGAGCUCCAGCUCACACACAGUUACAUCGUUAGCCUCUUGUACACAAUAA
rnacentral:lncRNA from 1 species